AAGAAAACCUAUUCCCUUCAUGAACGGGAAAUGGAGACGGCUGGAAAUAAAAUCGAGCAGACACAAUAUAACAAAAUCACGUAGACUUUCCGGCGAGAUAGUCUUCUUUCCCAGAGGCGUACCCAAUCAAAUAGAAACAAUAGGGCCAAUCAAAAGAUGCCUCACACAGGAGGGUCCAAAAGGCUGCAAAUGGGAUAGAGCCUAUACGAGCACAAAUUUUCUUAUUAACUCAUAAAAAAUGUAAGGAUGGUAGACCACUGGAUGAUGAUUCUGCCAAGGCAAUCGUCAUACAGUCUGAUGUCGAUAAUUUAGCGGGUCAAAGAUUUCAAUAUCAUGAAGAGUUGCAAAAAUUAUUUGAAGACUAUUAUUCGUUAGGAUUAGUCACAUAAUGACAUUAGCUAUUUACUUCAAAUAGUAUAUAAGUUUAUUUUUUAGUUACUAUGAUAUUAAUAUUUUGGAUUAGUACAUCCUUUUAUUUGUUAAUAUUU